rnacentral:rRNA from 1 species
UACGUAGGGUGCGAGCGUUAAUCGGAAUUACUGGGCGUAAAGCGUGCGCAGGCGGUUUUGUAAGCCAGAUGUGAAAUCCCCGGGCUUAACCUGGGAACGGCAUUGAAUACUGGGCAACUAGAGUACUGUAGAGGGUAGUGGAAUUUCCGGUGUAGCGGUGAAAAUGCGUAGAGAUCGGAAGGAACACCAGUGGCGAAGGCGGCUACCUGGACAGAUACUGACACUGAGGCGCGAGAGCGUGGGGAGCAAACAGG